UGUGCAUCUGGUUACCAGUCCGGCGCGCAAAUUUGAUCCCCAUUUCGAGACUUCACGGUGAGCUGCCUUCCAAGCCGUUCUGCAGCAGCUGGAGUCUCCCUUAUGUUAUAUUUUUCUAUCUGUUUCCUUUCAGACAGUAGACUAGUAUUCUUUUGUAUAUUCUACUAGAAUGCUCACACACUUGUGACACCAGGUCUUGGCACACACACACUAGUAAACUUAUGAUUUUGGAUUUGCUUUCAUGAUUAUGAUUUGUACUCAUUUGUUUCCGUUAGUUUAUAUUACAUUUGCAAAUUUCUAAAUCUUUUUAACAAAUGAGGAAAUGUCAUCCACUUAGUAAUUUAUUCAAAAACGGGAAACCACUAGUUUGAUCAGUGUUGGCUUGCCUAACAAUGAUGUUGGGUACCAUCGCGGCCUAUAAUGGACUUGGGUCAUUACACCAUGACUAUUGUUCAUUAGUUUAUUUUUUAUGGCACCCGAAUUCAAGCAUAUGGCGUGGACUAUAGCACACGAAAAUUUAAAAAUCGGCACGAAUUCCAGUUUUUGGCCCUAAAAUGCCAAAAAAUGAGGAACGGUCUUGCCGAAGCCAUUAUUGUAAUUCAUUAAUCAUUUUUGAUGGCCCCGCAAAAUUUUAGACGAUUCGUAUCCAAUAGCCCCGAUUCAUGCAAAUAGCGAAAUAUAGCACACGAAAAUUUAGAAAUCGACCCGAAUUUCAGUUUUCUGGCCGUAAAAUACCGAAAAAAAGGAAUGGUCAAGUUGAAGCCAUAACUAUUUUUCAUUAGGUUAUUUAUUAUGGCCCCGAAAAAUAUUAGGCGAUUCAGAUUUGGAAGCCCGAAUUCAUGGAGAUGUGAACUAUAGCACAUGAAAAUUUGGAAAUUGAACAAAAUUCUAAUUUUUUUUGCCUAAAAUGCCAAAAAACAAGGAACGGUCAUGUUGAAGACAUGAUUAUUGUUCAUUAUGUCCUUUUUGAUUCCCGGAUUCAUGUAGAUGGCAUGUACUGGAAUUUCGCCUGCUUCUCAGAUUUUCGUGUGCUAUAGUCCACACCUCCUACAUGGACCAGGGCGACCAGAUCUGAAUCACCUAAAAAUUUUCCAACCCAUCAAAUAUGGACUAAGGAACAAUAACCACAACCUCGCCAUGACCGUUACUCGCUUUUUGGUAUUUUAGGGCCAUAAAACUGGAAUUCUGCUCGACCUAGAUUUUCGUAUGCUAUAGCCCACACCUCCUACAUGGGGCAGAGCAACCGGACCCAGAUCGCCGAACUUUUUGGCCCAUAAAAAAUGACCUAAGGAACAAUAGUCACCGCCUCGCCAUGACCGUUACUCAUUUCUUGGCGUCUUAGGGCCAUAAAAUUGAAAUUUUGCCAGAUUUCUAGAUUUUCAUGUGCUAUAGUCCAUGCCUCAUGCACAGGCUCGGACGACCAUAUCCGGAUCACCUAAAGUUUUUUUGGCCCAUCAAAGAUGACCUUAGGAACAAUAGUAACUGCCUCGCCAUAACCGUUACUCAUUUCUUGGUGUUUUAGGGCCAUAAAACUGGAAUUUCAUCUGAUUUCCAGAUUUUCGUGUGUUAUAGCCCACGCCUCCUACUUGUGUAAAAGCGUCCCGACCCGGAUAGCCUAAAAUUUUGCCAGCCUAUCAAAUACGACCUAAGGAACAUUAUUCACCACCUCGUCUAGACCGUUACUCAUUUUUUUGGCGGUUUAGGGCUAUAACAUUGGAAUUUCGCCCGAUUCCUAGAUUAGUCGUAUGCUAUAGCCCACACCUCUUGCAUGAACCAGGGCGACUGGACCCGGAUCGCCAAAAUUUUUUCCGGCCCAUCAAAAACGAUCUAAGGAAUUUUAGUCACUGCCUCGCCAUGAUCGUUACUCACUUUUUGGCAUUUUAGGGCCACAAAAUUAGAAUUCCGCCUGAUUCACAUAUUUUUGUAUGCUACAGCCCAAGCCUCCUACAUGGACUGGGAUGACCAGACCAGAUAGCCUAAAAUUUUAUCGGUCUAUAAGAAAUAACCUAAAGAAUUAUCAUCGUCUCGCCAGGCCCGCUGUCACACCUCCUUUUUACGCACCCGCGAGGGGAGAAGGGAGUUUUUCCAAUUAAAGGACAAUCGAAACGGGAUUUAUUUAUUUAUUUAUUUCAGAGUCACCACUUGGGAGAUUUAGGGUGUCCCAAGUCACCAAUUUUAAUCCCGAAUCAAGGAAAAGGAUGACUCCAUAUUACAGUCUGGUACCAGAAAUCCGGAUAAGGAAUUCUGUUAACCCGGGAGAAGGUGUUAGGCAUUCCCGAGUUCCGUGGUUCUAGCACGGUCGCUCAACUGUUAUAUUCGGUUUGAUUAUCUGAUUUUAUACAAAUAUGAACUUAUGUGCUAAUUUUAACUCCUGGCCGCUUUUAUUAUUAUUUUUUACGAGAAUUGCAACGUCGUGAAAAUAUAUCUAGAACCACGUUACAUCAAUGCACCCGUGAUUAUUGACAUAUCUCGACUCGGUUGAGAUUUGGAUUUGGGUCACAUAAAUGUGCACCCGAAUUAAGAAAAAUAAAUUAUUAAGACGCGCCUAAAGCAACUAACGUAGUGUUAUUUUGGGGAAGGCCGCAAAAUUCGCUAAACGGCCUGUCCCGAAUUCUAAGUAUUUUAAUAUAUAUAUACAUUCAGAGGGCCCACAGCUUUGUACAUUUUUGUUCGUCGAGGCUCGUCUCAUUCUUAUUUUUNNNNNNNNNNNNNNNNNNNNNNNNNNNNNNNNNNNNNNNNNNNNNNNNNNNNNNNNNNNNNNNNNNNNNNNNNNNNNNNNNNNNNNNNNNNNNNNNNNNNNNNNNNNNNNNNNNNNNNNNNNNNNNNNNNNNNNNNNNNNNNNNNNNNNNNNNNNNNNNNNNNNNNNNNNNNNNNNNNNNNNNNNNNNNNNNNNNNNNNNNNNNNNNNNNNNNNNNNNNNNNNNNNNNNNNNNNNNNNNNNNNNNNNNNNNNNNNNNNNNNNNNNNNNNNNNNNNNNNNNNNNNNNNNNNNNNNNNNNNNNNNNNNNNNNNNNNNNNNNCCGAUGCGGGCCUGCUUGGUCUGUUUCGACCUGGGCUCGACCCCCGUGAGGUUGAGGCUGUGAACUUGUUCUUUGUUCUAAAGGCGCGGUUUAUCAGUUAUAACGGGAUAAUUCAUUAAUGGGAAAAGCAGUUAACUAAUGAUGAAUAGUUUUCGUGCGUUACUGGACAUGCUAAUCACAAACACAACUAAUUUCUGAGCUACAUCCUACUACAUGGUCGAAAUUUUUUAUCCAACAGCCUACACACACAAUUCGAUGUCAAGUUACCCUACAUUGACAAUUGCUAUGUGUGAAAGCUAACUCAGUAUCCGAGCCAAAAUGUAAACUAUCAUACAUCACAUAACGUUCAAUGUACAGGCUAUACAUAAAAUAAACGAUCUUCAACUCUUCUCUUUGUAUUCAUACUCAACUUCAUAUUACAUUGACAGUAUUAGUCGUGUACCUGGAUGUUUGAACAAUAAAGAGGAGAAGAAGAAAGAUGUCAGCAACAGGCAACCAAGCAGUAACAACACAGCAACAACAACCAACAACAAUAACCAGCCACAAUUAUGAAGCCCACAAGUGAUAGAGCACCAAGCAGAAAAUCCCAGACAGAGUAGAAAACAACCGAGAAAACCAGAAUGUUCAAGGCAAUAGCAACAUCAAUCCAAUGAUCACAAACAGCUUGGCAAAUAACCAACAACAAUUGGCCAAGACAGCUUGACCAACUUGAACUCUUAUGUAAUUUUCAGACAGUGUUUGGUUACAAUAUUCUGAGACUUUAUGUUUCUUGUUUUCUCUGAAGACUAAAAAAUGUCCCCCCCUUUUAUGUUCUGAAACAGCUCUAUUUAUAGGCAGAAAUGGCAAGCACUCAGCUGCCCUGAACCCCUCCCCUCUUUCCUGCCCAUAACUUCCUUUCUAAACUAAUCAAAAUAUUCCCCAUACCCAUCCAUUCGACAAGCUUUUAGCCUGUAUUUUCUGCCCAACAACAUGGGCACCCCCUUUUUAUUCAAUCAGCCCCAUGCCACAAAGUUUGGCUCCCCACUAUUACCUUAUUUAAUCCUAAUCCAAUACCCUAUUUGUCAGCUCAUUUAAACUAAUCAUUUCUGUUCUUUUUAACACCCAAAUUACCCCUGUUAAUCCCUGGUUAUCACUGUCUUGACCCUUUGCAACAGUAGGGCAUUUUUGAACUUCUGAAAGUUCAGAUUCAGAGCUGUCCUGGACUGAAUCUUUUCAGUCGUUUUGCAAUGCAAACAAACCAAUUUCAAACAAUGUCGGGCAUUCAGUCAAUGACAGGGUUCAAUCAGUCAUGUGAAGUUAUUAGUCCAUUUGAUCCUUUAGUCAUAGAAAAUUAAUCGACGACGUUUAUCAGGUCGACUAUACUAAUUAUAACCAGAUAUAACAAGUCGAUUAAAUAAACAAUACGUACGGGGUCCUAAAUAACUUCAGCUAACUUUGCACAAUACUGGGAGGCCAUACGAAUUAUUUAUAUGACGACUAAUCUAAUCGAACAUGGAUAUCACAGAAUGCAUUCAGACAUGCGCAGAAACAAUCGACCAAAUAAAAGGCCUUACAAAGAUGGAAGAAAUCAGAAUGAAAAAUACCAGAAAUACAAAACAAUCAUAACAGGUCAUGCUAACAAACUCAAUUGGUGUUCAAAUAAAACAGAAACAAAAAAGGAAAACUUACUAAAAAUGUUCAAACCAAGCCGACCCAAGUCUGAAUUAGAUUUGACCAUUUGAGGCCAAACAAACUUUAACCGGGAUGUUCUCAACCGAGAACACCUUGAUUAAGGUCUAUUAGACCUCAAGCCCCUAUUAAAACUGGCCGGAUUCCCCAGGCUCUGGUGUUCUAGGGUUUGGAUCUUUAGAUUUGAGAUUCUAGAAGUUGUGGGUAGAUUCGGACCAAACCAAGCUUGGUUUGGUCACGAGGGAAGUCAGGGGGCUGUCUGGUGUGAAUCUGGUGUGGUUUGGUGUAGGUCAGAGUUCGACUCGAAUCUUCAAAUGAAGAUUCGAGAAACUAGGGACUGAUUCGAAGCACAAGGAUAUCAGAUCCAUGUUCAGGGCAGUGGGGUGGUCCUAGGGUGUUAAGGAGGUGGUCACCGGCGUCCAUGUUGUCGGCUUUACGGUGAAGGUGUAUAGGGGCGGCUAGGGUUUCAUAGGGUUCAGGGUUUGGUGAAGAAGAUGAGUGAAGGGGGGUUAGGAUAGGGGGCGGGGUAGCAAGGUUAGGCCUUAUAUAUGCUUUAGAGUUUUAGAUCCUGGCCGUUGGAUCAAGGGAGAUCUAUGGCCAGGAUCUAUUCUUUAGGUAGGACGUCGUCGUUUAGGUGGGAAGGUAGUUAAAACCGGGUAGGGAAAUGGGUCGGAUUAAAUUAACGGGUCUAAAGGGCGGGCCUCGAUCCGUUGGAUCAAAGGGAUUGGACGGCUCAGAUCAAACGCCUUGAACGGCGUCGUUAUGGUUAAAUGGGCGAUCUGAUCAAGACCGUUCAUUUAAAUCAUAUCAAUGGCUCUAAUAGGGAUGCUGAUACGGCAUCGUUUGAGUCAGUGCUUGGGCAGGCCUGGCUUGGACUGGGUCUUGCAUUGGCUUUGGGCCUCAUUUGGGGCCCAAUCCGAUUUCUUCACUUCUUUUUUUUUUCUUUUCUUUUUUUCUGAUUUUAAAAUACAACUAAAUUAAACUGAAUUUAAAACACUCAUUAAUCAACACCUAAACAAUUAUCACACACAUAUUAAAAUUUUAAAAAUGGUUAAAUCAUAGCCUAGAAUAAAAGCUGCAUAUUUUUGUGAAUUUUCUUUUAAAGACCGAAUUAUGGCCCGAUUACACACGGCAUACUUAUUUUGUAUUUUUGUUGGAGAAGAUUCAAUGAAAAAUGGAUAGAAACACAAAGGACUACCAGCACAUGUCACGUAAAAAUUGAAAAUUUGUAUGGCGAGGCCAUUUGCAAUUAUUUUGAUUUCUUUUGGAGUGAUUGUUCGUGAAGCAAAAAUCACGUGCUUACACCCGUUACUCGUUUUUUGGCAUUUUAAGGUCAUAAAACUUGAAUUCCGCCCGAUUCCCAGAUUUUCGUAUGCUAUAACCCACACCUCCUACAUGGGCCGGGGCGAUCGGUCCCCGAUCGCCUAAAACUUUGCUAGCCCAUCAAAAAUGACCUAAGAAAAAAUAGCCACCGCCCACCACAACUGUUACUCGUUUUUUAGCAUUCUAGGGUCGUAAAACUGGAAUUUUGCAUGAUUCCCAAAUUUUCGUGUGCUAUAGCCUAUGCCUCCUGCACGGGCCCCAGAUAUCGGACCCGGAUCGCCUAAAAUAUUCUCGGCCCGACAAAAACAAUCUAAGAAUAAUAGUUACCGCCUCGCCAUUAGCGUUACUCGUUUUUGGGCGUUUUAGGGUCAUAAAACUGGAAUUCUGUCCGAUUCUCAAAUUUUCGUGUGCCUCCUGCGUGGGGCCGGGCAAACAAAUUAGGGUCGCCUAUAAUUUUUCCAGCCCAUCAAAACGACCGAAGGAACAAUAGUCACCGCCUCUCCAUAAUCGUUGUUCGGUUUUUUUGGUGUUUUAAAGCCAUAAAACUGGAAUUCUGCGUGAUUCCUAGAUUUUCAUGUGCUAUAGCCCACACCUUCUGCAUGUACCCAGGCACCAGGACCCGCAUUGCCUAAAAAUUUUGUCAGCCAUUAAAUAUGACCUAAGGAAUAAUAGUCACUGCCUCGCCAUUACCGUUACACAUUUUUUGACAUUUUAGGGCCAUAAAAUUGGAAUUCGCCUAAUUUUCAAAUUUUAAUGUGCCCAAGCCCAUGCCUCCUGCACAUGCACGGGUCCGGGAGCCCGAAUCUGGAUCACCUAAAAAUUUUCAGGCCCAUCAAAAAUGAUCUAAGGAACAAUGGUCACAGCCUCUCCAUGAUCAUUACUCGUUUUUUGGCGUUUUAGGGCUAUAAAACUAGAAUUUCCCCGAUUCCCAGAUUUUCGUGUGCUAUAUAGCCCACACCUCUUGCAUGGGCCCGGACGCCUGAACCUGGAUCGUCUAAAAAUUUUCUAGACCAUAAAAAAUGACUUAAGAAAAUAUAGUCACUGCCUCGCCAUGACUGUUACUCAUUUUUUGGCAUCUUAGGGCCAUAAAAUUGGAAUUCUGCUCAAUUUCUAGAUUUUCGUGUUCUAUAGCCUGCGCUUCCUGCAUGGGCCCAAACAAACGAGCCUGGAUCGCCUAAAAUUCGUCGGCCCAUAAAAAAUGACCUAAGGAGCAAUAGUCACCGCCUAGCCAUGAUCGUUACUCGUUUUUUUGGCAUUUUAGGACCAUAAAACUGGAAUUCAAACCGAUUCCCAAAUUUUCGUGUGCAAUAGCCUGCACCUCCUGCAUAGGGGCGCCCAAACCUGGAUCGCCUAAAUUGCAGGGCCAUCAAAAAUGAUCUAAUGAAUAAUAGGCACCGCCUAGGCAUGAUUGUUACUCGUUUUUUAGCGUUUAAGGGCCAAAAACUAGAAUUCGGGCCAAAAACUCCUAAUGUUGUGAAUUUCAUCUGCUUACCAGAUGGUUAUGUGACUGUACUGUGCUAAACAAUCAUACUCCACUUGUGAGAUUUUUCUGGUUUGUUGUUAUUAUUGUAUAAACAGAAAAUGUAAAUUAAAGAUCUUCUAAUGACAUGAUUAAUGUAAUCUAACCUAUUAUAGUAGUUUUAGUAUAAUAGGAUAGUUACAAUUUUUUUUCAGAUUACUAUUGAGAAUUCGUCAUAAAUAUUUACCUAUAAUUACCUUAUAAAUGACCUGAUUAUGUAAAUAUUUUUAUACCGUCAAUUUUAAGACUAACGGUCAGUUAUUAAAACUAGCUGCUCCACUUUCAAUAUCCUCCUACCAUCUAAAUUGGUAAUUUUCAUGUUUUUGGCCUUCUAGUAGAUUAUAUGAACUGUGUAAGCUUGUUCCUAAGGCAUGUAGUUAAGAAUUUUGCUCGUAAUAUCGCAAGUAGCUAGACCAUCAACACAUGAUUCGUAUGAGUACAAAAGUGUUCAUAAUAAUAUCAGAUCAUACAUCAAGCUGAUCAUCAACUCAUAUUUUUCCCCUUAAUUAUGACCACUUGGUCUUUUUAUAGAUCCACUUCAGAGGAUUACAAAUAUAGUACUAUUACUAUAUACUUGACUUUAAGUUGCUUUUUAGAGCAAUUAUUUAAGUUCUUGAUAUCAAGCAGAACAAUCCAUACAUAUUAACGUGAAAUGGACGUAGGUCGUUUCAAUUAGUAUGGACUUUCGCCUCUAUAAUUACCUGGAGGAUCAUAGUUGCAAGAGACAACAUAUCCUCCAUUGUUACACUGAACCCUAGCACAUCCAACACGAACCGAGUUACGCCAAACCACCUGAGUAUAGUGUCCACACACCUGUCCUUGUGCACAAGUAUUUGAGUCAUGGUCAUAAUACUGUUUCUCAUCGACCCACAUCUCAACGGCCUUAGCAGCCGUCAUGAAAUCGCCACUUCCCUCAGCUAGGUUUUCGCCGUAUUGACCAUGAGAAUGUACGAGGUUACAAUCUGCAGCCAAUUGGGAAGCAUAAUUUUGCGCAUAGGCUGCUACCUGGUCGUCCCAGGUCAAAGGUUCUACACCUACAUCUGCACGAGCUGUGUUAUGGGCAUCCAAAUAGUCUUGUUGAGAAUUUUGGGCACGGCAAGAGUGGGAUAUUACUAGGAAUAAGAGAAGUGUAGAGACAAGAAGAAAUGAAGGCAAUUGUGAAAAGAGAACAAAUCCCAUGACUAUAGGAGAAAUGUUGUAUCUUGAAUGGAAAAACUAGAUUUACUACCAAGGGUAUUUAUAGGAGAAAUCUUGAAGAUUUCACGGUGAUUAUUCAUGUACUUACUAAAUUUUUUGACAUGGUAAUAUCAAUGUAAUAUAUCCUGUUAUAGAUAAUUUAUCCUAUUUUCUAGGUUACCAUAUUAAACUUAUAUAUGCAGUUACCAAUUGUUGUAAAAUAGUUUUACCCGAUGUUGCAAAAUAAUUUUAAAUUGUCAAUGCAUGAAGUUAAACACUUUUUUGAUCUAUCAGAUGUGCUUUUUGUUAAAUAAAGUAGACUGGUUAUGGUUAAUGUGUUAAUUAAUAUUUUCUACAUUUAACGAUCUGAUUAAUUUUUACUUCCAUAUUUAUAUCUCUUUUUUUUCAGAAUGGGAAUGUCCAUUGGAAAAAGAAUUUAAAAUAAAUACUUUGAUGUUUGAUUUUUCUAAUAAUCUUAUUUCUAAAUCUUAUAUUAUAUUUCUUAUAUGUACAAUCAAUUCUCUAAAAGAAAAAACUAUAAUAAUACCAAACACAGUUUGUGUCUUCUUCUUUCUUUUCUCAAUAUUUGUGGAAAACUUGAACAUGGCCGUCAUCUCGAUGACGUUAAAUAACUAUCAAAUUUGGACGUAAAGAAUAUUUGGAUAUUCUUCAGUUCUUUCUCUAAUUUCCUUCCCUUAAUUUCCAACUUGAUGUUACUCAUGUACUAUCAUACUUUUCUAUUAUCUCAUUCCAAUCACGGCUUGAUCUGGAGUAUAAAUAAAUUUCUAUUUUCUUAUCCCAAUCACGACUUGACUUUAGAUUCAAAUGGAGUAUUUUUUUAUUUUUUGUAAAUAGCUUAUGUUUAUUUCGUUUUUCGACAUUAGUGGAAAAGAAAGCUCAAGUUUUAGUGAAGCUAGAGUUUGAAAUCCUCGAGGGUGUUUUAAGAUUUAACUACUUUAUUUUUCCAAGAAAUAGCACCCUAAAGCAUCUCGCUGUAAUGGCGUUCACUUAUUUUCCCUUUAAUUUAAAUGGAUAAAUGACAACCAAACUCCUUAAAAAGACUUCGGCCAAUGCUUUAGGUGGUGAAGUAUAGACCCAAUACUUACAAGAGAGACCAGUGUUUUUGUUAUGCAAAAAGAGUAAUUGAAGAAUUUUGUAACUAUUGCCAUUUAGCAAUUUGNNNNNNNNNNCNNUCACUUUUGUUUGACAUGUAUACUAAAAAUAGAUUUUCAUUUUUACUUUUCACUUUAUGCAUGUUAAGAGAAGACAAUUUUUUUUUCCUGUUAUACCCACAGUAUUUAUUACUCAUUUCAAAUCAUUUUCUCAAAUCCAAUAAAAUAUGCAUCAAUUAAUAUGGGUAUCAUGGUAAAUUAUGCAUUUCAAUCAUUUUUUCUUAAAGGGUUUGAAAAAUCAAAACGUGUCAAGUAAAAGUAAACAGAGUACAUAUUAUUGUAAAUUAACUUAUCGUGAUGAUUAAAAAAAUUAUAGUCUAUUAGAUGCAAAAAAAAAAAAAAUGAAAACUUAGACCCUACACUAUGAUAAUUGACAUCCUCGUAUAUCUUAGUCCUUAAAAACGUUUAUGUGCUACGAUCCCUAGGUAAAGGUUUGCGCCAUCAGGGUCGCAAAUUGUGCCUCACGACUUGACUAUAAGAUCAAAAUUAAGGUAUCUUAAUUAAUUUAUUCUAUUGAUAAUAGAGCUUAAAAUUCAAAUGUUCUUGAGGUUUUACUUUUCUUAUUGCAAUACAUUCCUCAUUAACUUUAUAGAACAAAAAAAAUGAUACAGUGAGAAAUCAUAGUUGCAAAUCUGAUUGUCAAGAUUUAUCAGAUUUGGGUUCAAAGAAAGUAGAAUAACUUUAUCUUUCAGCAAAUUUGUAUGGACUUAUUUGAGUUAUGCAUUGCUUGGUUCAUCUCUUAUGAUGUAUUGAAGGUUCUCUACGUAGCAUGUCAUGAGUGAAGAAUCAAAAUAGAAUUGCAAGCUCAAUAUUAAAAAGAAUAACUGAAAGUAGAAUUGAAAUUUUUGUGGAAGAAAAUAAUUGGAUAGUUUAUUCAAUUCACGAAUGGCCUUAUAUAGGCAUACAAAUUAGCUUGAAUAUGUUAUCCCACUAAACAAACUCUCCUAAACUUUAGGAAAAAUAUCUGCAACUAACAAUAACAAAAUAACAACUUGAAGCUAAAAACUAGCUAUACUACUGACUUAGUCAACACUACAAGUUGUACAUGGCACAAGUGCAGGAUUAAAGUUGCAGGCACCAUCAGCGUCGUACAUUGUGCUACAGCCUACAAGAGUUGACUCCAACACAAAGAAUGAGAAAAGAAUCAAUACAAACGGAAAGGUAAACAUCUUUACUGGGAUUGUGAAUGCUUUUAUUUGUUUUGAUUCCUUUUAGGCAAUUCGGAUCAGGUUAACCCGGAUUCAUGUAGAUGACGUGAAUUAUAGCACACGAAAAUUUGUAAAUCGACCCGAAUUUCAGUUUUUUAUCCCUAAAAUGCCAAAAGAAGAGGAACGGUCAUGCUGAAGCCAUGAUUAUUGUUCAUUAGGUUAUUUUUUAUGGCCCCGCAAACUGAAAAUUCUGGAUAUCGGGUAGAAUUCCAGCUUUACGGUCGUAAAACACAAAACACGAGGAACGGUCAUGGCAAGGAAAUGACUAAUAUUCCUUAGAUCAUUUUUUAUGGGACGGUAAAAUGGCGACUCGGGUCUGGUCGCUCGAACUAUGCAGAUGGCAUGGGCUAUAGCACACAAAAAUUUAGAAAUCAAGUAGAAUUCCAGUUUUGUGGGCCUAAAAUGCCAAAUAAUGAGUAAACGAUGACUAGUAUUUCUUAGGUCAUUUUUUAUUGGUCGGAAAUUUUUUAGGUGAUUCGGGUCCAGUCGUCCAGACCCAUGUAGAUGACGUAAGCUAUAACACACGAAAAUCUAGGAAUUAUACGGAAUUAAAAAAUUUAUGGCCCUAAAAUACCCAAAAAUGAGGAAUGGUCAUGGCGAGGCGAAGACUAAUGUUCCUUAAGUCGUUCUUGAUGGGCCAAAAACUUUUUAGGCGAUUCAGGUCUAAUCGCUCAGACCCAUGCAAAUGGCGCGAGUUAUAUAGCACAGAAAAUUUGGAAUUGGUCGAAUUCCAAUUUGUUGGCCUUAAAAUGCCAAAAAAUGAAGAACGGUCAUGCUUAAGUCAUGACUAUUGUUCAUUAGGUAAUUUUUAUGGCCCUGCAAAAUUUUAGUUUAUUCGAAUUCGGUAGUCUGAAUUCAUGCAUAUGGCUAUAGCACACGAAAAUUUGAAAAACGACCUGAAUUCUAAUUUUUUGGCCCUAAAAUGAAAAAAAAAGGAACAUUGUUCAUUCAGUCAUUUUUUAUGGUCCCGCAAAAUCUUAGGCGAUUCCAAUCCAGUAGCCCAGAUUCAUGCAGAUGCGUGGACUAUAACACAUGAAAAAUUAGAAAUCUGCCGGAAUUUCAAUAUUUUGGCACUAAAAUGCCUAAAAAUAAGGAACGGUUACGCCGAAGCCGUGACUAUUAUUCAUUAGGUCACUUUUAUGGUCCAGUAAAAUUUUAGGAGAUUCAGAUCGGGUAGCCCUGAUUCAUGUAGAUGGCGUGGAUUAUAGCAUACGAAAAUUUGGAAAUCUGCCCGAAUUCUAAUUUUUUGGCCUUAAAAUACCAAAAAUCGAGGAAUGGUAAUGCCAAAAUCAUGAUUAUUGUUGAUAAGUUCAUUUUUUAUGACCCCGUAAAAUCUUAGGCGAUUCGGAUCCGGUAGCCUGGAUUCAUGCAAAUGGUGUAGACGAUAACACAUGAAAAUUUGAAAAUCGACCCCAAUUAUAGUUUUUUGGCCCUAAAAUGCAAAAGCCUAGGAACGUCCAUGUUGAAGCAAUGACUAUUAUUCGUUAGGUAAUUUCUUAUGAUCGUGUAAAAUUUUAGUCAAUUCGGAUCCAGUAUCCCGGAUUCAUGCAGAUGGCCUGGACUAUAAAGGAAAUUUGGAAAUUGGCCUAAUUCCAGUUUUUUGGCCCUAAAAUGCAAAAAAUAAGGAAAUGUCAUGCCGAAAACCAUGAAAAUGAUUCAUUAGGUUAUUUUUGUGGUCCCUCCAAAUUUUAGGAUAUUCAAAUCUGGUAACCCGAAUUCAUGCACAUAGAACGGAUUAUAACACACGAAAAUUUAAAAAUCGACCUGAAUUCUAUCUUUUUAGACCUUAAAUGCCAAAAAAGAGGAACAGUCAUGCCGAAGCCAUGACUAUUGUACAUCAUUUUUUAUGGACCCCGCAAAAUUUUAGGCGAUUUAGAUCCGGUAGGCCAGAUUAUUGUAGAUGGCGUGGACUAUAGCAUGCAAAAAAUUAGAAAUCGGCCCGAAUUCUAGUUUUUUGCCCUAAAUUGCCAAAAAAACAGGGAACGAUAUGUCGAAGCCAUGACUAUUAUUCAUUAAGGCAUUUUUUAUAGCCCCAUAAAAUUCGAUAUCCACACCUAAAAUAGCUAUCACUUCGCCAUGAUUGUUCAUUGUUUUUUGAAUUUUAAGACCAUAAAACAGGAAUUCAGGAUAACUUCUAGAUUUUCGUGUGUUAUAGUCCGUGCAUCUACAUGACUCGGGUGUCCGGUCCCGAAUUUACUAAACUUUUGCAGUCCAAUAAAAAAUGACCUAAUGAAUAAUAGUCAUCGUUUCGCCAUGAUCGUUUCUCAUUUUUGCUGUUUUAGGGCCACAAACAGAAAUUCAUGACGAUUCCCAGAUUUGCGUGUGCUCUAGUCCACGCUAUCUGUAUAAAUUCUGGUGACUAUUUUAGAAUCUCCUAAAAUUUUGUAGGCCCAUCAAAACUGACAUAAUGAACAAUAGCCACCGCUUUCUCGUGAUUAUUCCUCAUUUUUUUGGCGUUUUAGAGCCAUAAAAUAGGAAUUCAGGACGAUUCCCAGAUUUUAGUGUGCUAUAGUCCACGCUAUUUGCAUGAAUUCAUGCGACCGACUUCGAAACUCCUAAAAAUUUUGGGUUCCAUAAAAAUUGACCGGAUGAUCAAUAGUCAUCGCUUCGCCAUUACCCACCGUCUUUAUUUGGCAUUUUAAGGCUAUAAAAUAGAAAUUCAAGACGAUUCUCAAAUUUUCGUGUACUAUAAGUCUACACCAUAUGCAUGAAUUCGGGCGACCGAACCAGAAUCUCCUAAAAUUUUGUGGAACUAUAAAAACGACCUAAUUAGUAAUAAUCAUCGUUUCACCAUGAUUGUGCCUCAUUUUUUGGCUUUUUGGACCAUAAAACAGGAAUUCAAGAU
rnacentral:lncRNA from 1 species